UACGUAGGGGGCGAGCGUUGUCCGGAAUUACUGGGUGUAAAGGGCGUGUAGGCGGGGAUGCAAGUCAGAUGUGAAAUACCGAGGCUUAACCUCGGGGCUGCAUCUGAAACUGUGUUUCUUGAGUGUCGGAGAGGAAAGCGGAAUUCCUGGUGUAGCGGUGAAAUGCGUAGAGAUCAGGAGGAACACCGGUGGCGAAGGCGGCUUUCUGGACGACAACUGACGCUGAGGCGCGAAAGCGUGGGGAGCAAACAGG
rnacentral:rRNA from 1 species